rnacentral:rRNA from 1 species
AAUGAACGCUGGCGGCGCGCCUAAUACAUGCAAGUCGAGCGAGAAGACGUAGCAAUACGUUUGUAAAGCGGCGAACGGGUGAGGAAUACAUGGGUAACCUACCCUCGAGUGGGGGAAUAACUAGCCGAAAGGUUAGCUAAUACCGCGUACGCUCCUUGGACUUCGGUUCAGGGAGGAAAGCGAUACCGUGGGUAUCGCGCUCUUGGUUGGGCUCAUGUCCUAUCAGCUUGUUGGUAAGGAACGGCUCACCAAGGCUUCGACGGGUAGCUGGUCUGAGAGGACGAUCAGCCACACUGGCACUGCGACACGGGCCAGAC